rnacentral:rRNA from 1 species
CCUACGGGCGGCUGCAGUGGGGAAUAUUGGACAAUGGGGGCUACCCUGAUCCAGCCAUGCCGCGUGUGUGAAGAAGGCCCUCGGGUUGUAAAGCACUUUCAGUGAGGAAGAACGCCUGGUGGUUAAUACCCAUCAGGAAAGACAUCACUCACAGAAGAAGCACCGGCUAACUCCGUGCCAGCAGCCGCGGUAAUACGGAGGGUGCGAGCGUUAAUCGGAAUUACUGGGCGUAAAGCGCGCGUAGGUGGCUUGAUAAGCCGGUUGUGAAAGCCCCGGGCUCAACCUGGGAACGGCAUCCGGAACUGUCAAGCUAGAGUGCAGGAGAGGAAGGUAGAAUUCCCGGUGUAGCGGUGAAAUGCGUAGAGAUCGGGAGGAAUACCAGUGGCGAAGGCGGCCUUCUGGACUGACACUGACACUGAGGUGCGAAAGCGUGGGUAGCAAACAGGAUUAGAUACCCGAGUAGUC